rnacentral:lncRNA from 1 species
CUAUUAUCCAGAUGCAGAACUGAUCAAGUCGGACGAGGAACUUCAAGGAUGGUGGAGCGAAGUGCAAAACGUAGGACAUGGAGACAAGAAAGAUGAACCUUGGUGGCCUGUCCUCGAGACACAAGAUGACUUAAUUAAUAUCGUCACGACGAUUGCGUGGGUCGCUUCAGGUCACCAUGCAGCUGUAAACUUUGGACAGUAUGGAUAUGGAGGAUACUUCCCUAACAGACCAACCACAACAAGGAUAAAAAUGCCGACAGAAGAACCAACAGAUGAAGAGCUAGAGGAGUUCUACGAGUCACCAGAAAAAGUAAUGCUUAAAACAUACCCAUCACAGAAGCAGGCGACUCUAGUGAUGGUCACUUUGGAUCUUUUAUCAACUCAUUCAGUUGAUGAAGAGUACAUUGGAGAGUAUCCGGAAUCAUCUUGGGCUGAUGAACCUAUGAUAAAUGCUGCUUUUGAACGUUUUAAAGGUAGGCUUCAAUAUCUAGAAGGAGUGAUAGAUGAGAGAAACGUGACACUUUCUCUAAAGAAUAGAGCUGGAGCUGGUGUGGUUAAGUAUGAGCUUUUGAAGCCUACUUCUGAGCAUGGUGUUACUGGAAUGGGUGUUCCCUACAGUAUUUCUAUUUGAUCUAUUUUGUUUUCCUUUCCCAAGUGUCUUUAUUUUUCUGUAUGUCUUCAAGAAAUAAAACAACUGAUCCAUUGUCUUUUCUAUAUAAAUCU